rnacentral:lncRNA from 1 species
AAAAUUGAAUAAUUGGGGUUCUUUGAUAUGCCGAAUCUAACUGUCAUGACUGUGUAUGUAGAUUCUUAACUUUUGGUCCCGUUUUCAAAUUGGUCUACAUUAAGGUCCAAAGGGUCCAAAAUUAAACUUAGUUUGAUUUUGACAAAAAAUGAAUCAUUUAGGUUCUUUGAUAUGCUGAAUCUAAAAAUUUACUUAGAUUCUUGAUUAUUGGCCCAGUUUUCAAGUUGGUCCAAAUCGGGGUCCA